AGUGAACGCUGGCGGUAGGCCUAACACAUGCAAGUCGAACGGCAGCACAGUAAGAGCUUGCUCUUACGGGUGGCGAGUGGCGGACGGGUGAGGAAUACAUCGGCAUCUACUUUUUCGUGGGGGAUAACGUAGGGAAACUUACGCUAAUACCGCAUACGACCUACGGGUGAAAGCAGGGGAUCUUCGGACCUUGCGCGAUUGAAUGAGCCGAGGUCGGUUAGCCUAGUUGGCGGGGUAAGGCUCACCAAGGCAACGAUCCGUAGCUGACCUGAGAGGGUGAACGGAGAGACUGGAACUGAGAAACGGUCCAGACUCCGACGGGAGGCAGCAGUAGGGAAUCUUCCGGAAGGGGCGAAGGCCGGACGGAGCAACGCCGCGGGAGUGAUGAAGGUCUUCGGAUCGUAAAACUCUGUUAUUAGGGAAGAACAAAUGUGUAAGUAACUAUGCACGUCUUGACGGUACCUAAUCAGAAAGCCACGGCUAACUACGUG
rnacentral:rRNA from 1 species